rnacentral:lncRNA from 1 species
CUACACGCCUGUGCUUAGGGAAGAAGUUGCCCUAUGAGAAACACAGGAACCUGGGCUAGGGCCCAAGGAGGCUUUCCUGUCACUUGUGGUAGAAAAAUUCCAGCAUAUGCCAAAGCCCACAGGAUGGUGAAGCAGUGAUCGUCCUCGGGCAACCUGCCUGCCAGCAGCACCUCUGUUGUCACUGCCUCCUCAGUGUCAGGUCUCUUCAGCAGGGCCAUGCAGGAGGAUGGCGGCCUAGAGGCCAGCCUGAGAGGCCUGUCUCAGUAAAACACAGAAACAAGAUGAGUGCACAUGGCUGACAGACAGAACAGAAAGCACCGUCGCACCGCCAUUGUGCUCCUGAAAGACUAGCAGAGCUCCCAGUGCCCGCCAGCACCCAGGCAGUUCGGAGACUUCCCCCAUCACCUGGUGAUUUUGCCUUGGUGAUGUUGUUGUUUUGGAAUGUUUUGAACUGACAUCCUGAUGAGCCCCAGUCAUCACUGGGUAGUACCAUCACAAAGUCUGUCAGUCUGCAGAUUGUUUCCUGCCUGCUGUUUUUCCUCCUUUUGACUUAUUAACUGAGUGUCUCACCCUGGAUUUCCCUGUGCCCGCCUCACGGUGUGGUGAACAGAUACCUUCUACCCCUGCGACAUGAGUGGACAGAUGUACUGAUCCCUGGGCCUGCGAAAUGCAGAUUAUAGCCUUGUCAAGAAUUGCCACAGUUGGGCCAUUGGGUGUGGCUCCGUGGAAGAUCACCUGCCUUGAAUGCCCCUGUGGGGCGUUGGGGUGGGGCUCAGUGUGGCGCAUGCAGGAGGCUCUGUGUUUUAUCUUCAGCACCAAAAGAGUAAAGUUUCCAAGACAAACAUUCUAACUGUCUCAUGGACUUCAUGUAGAUCACAUUACACAAGCCAAAUUAGUGGAAAGGUUUUAGAACACUCUUGCUCUGGAAGCUAGAAAACUAAAUGAUAUUUAUGUUGUAGAAACAAAUGAAAAAGAUUUUUAAUUACUUGUAGUGAAGAAGGCUAGAUGAGAUGUUACAUUUCCAGCUGAAGGCUCUGGCCGUUCGCUCUGUGGUGAGCCAGAGGGCCUGGAGUCCUUAGGAAACGAAGUGUUCGAUCCUGUUACUUUGUUGAGGAUGGAUUUUGGUUAAAUGUUCUUGCAGAAGUCCCUGUGUCUUUGCCCUGCUGCCUGUCUUUCUGCCAGCCCUCCUGUGCUCAUCCCUCCCUGUUUCCCUUCCUUCCCAAAUGUCUCCCUUCCUCAUGUUUUCCAGAACUACUUCCCCAGUAAGCAAGACAUCCUGUUGGCUAGAAAGGCCACCAAGGGAAUCGUGGAGCAUGACUUCGUGAUAAAGAAAAUCCCAUUUAAGAUGGUGGAUGUGGGCGGCCAGAGGUCGCAGCGCCAGAAGUGGUUCCAGUGCUUCGACGGGAUCACAUCGAUCCUGUUCAUGGUGUCCUCAAGCGAGUAUGACCAGGUCCUCAUGGAGGAUAGGCGCACCAACCGGCUGGUGGAGUCCAUGAACAUCUUCGAGACCAUCGUCAACAACAAGCUCUUCUUCAACGUCUCCAUCAUCCUCUUCCUCAACAAGAUGGACCUGCUGGUGGAGAAGGUGAAGUCGGUGAGCAUUAAGAAGCACUUCCCAGACUUCAAGGGCGACCCGCACCGGCUGGAGGACGUCCAGCGCUACCUGGUCCAGUGCUUUGACAGGAAGCGCAGGAACCGCGGCAAGCCUCUGUUCCACCACUUCACCACUGCCAUAGACACCGAGAACAUCCGCUUCGUGUUUCAUGCCGUGAAGGACACCAUCCUGCAGGAGAACCUGAAAGAUAUCAUGCUGCAGUGAGACAGCCCCUCUGCCGUCCUCUCGUGGCCUCCGUGGCCUGUGGCCACAUGUCUCUGGUGUGUCUGCCACCUGCAUGGACCUGCAGUGGGCAUCUCGAAGCCACACCAUCUAAUACCUGGCUCAAGAAUGCUGGACUGUCAGCCACACCAGCGAGCUGCGGGCAAGAGGACGUGGGAGUGUCAGUGAUAGCUACUGAAUCGGGGACUGAAACUACUGAAUCCACGCCAUCGCUCUGGUGUUGAUCUGUAAAACCUGGGAACACAGCUUUCUCCCUCCCUACAGAAACUCUUCCUUGCUGACACGACUUAACCAAGGUUCAGGUGUGCACAGACACACAUGCUCUCAUUAAUGACAGAAACACAACCCCAGCUGGCCUUACAGACAGCUCUUCCCUCUGACUCGCAGGUUCUCACGGAGACACACUAACUCGGAAGCUUAGCCUCACGGUAGGCUGUAGAGGGCAUGCGCUGCUGCUAAGCUCAGAGUGGCUCAGCCGCAGUGCCACCUCCCAAAGUGAACACACUGCCUUUAAAAUUGUGCCAAUACCCUCCGAGUCCCCACUCUGAGGCACGUCAGGGCCAGCAAAGAAGCCAAGUCAGGUGUCCACACUCCCGACUAGAGAACAAGGUGGGAGCUGUGAAGCUGCCUCACCGCCCCAGGAGCCACUUACCGUGUCUCCAUGCCCAGUGGGCCGGCCGCAGUGUGGAAGGUGACCUCUGAAGCAGCUCUGGCAGCCUGUGCACACAGUGGUGCUCUACUUCCCCAGCCUCCACAGCCCAUGGCAAAGACACACAACCAAGUGGCCUUGUAGUUUGCCUUACUUGACAGUUGUGGCAUGUAGCAUCCCCUGUCCUGGGCUCUGAAAGUGGGCCCAAGACACUCUGCAGCUGUAGAGCGUCUUCAUGUCUUGGCUGCUGGACGGGCCCCAGCCACUGGCCCUUUAGGAGAAGCCCUGGGGUCUGCACACCGCCCUCACCAUUGCCUUCACACAGUGCACUCUGCUCUCAGAGUGGCUGGCAGGCCGCAUUCUGUCGCUGUGCACAUAAAGUCAGUCAGCACCCUCCUAGCCCUGGUCCAUGAGGGUGCAGAAGGCUGGGGACAUCAGCACAACCUGCUAAGCCUCGCCUCCUUGGCAGGUGUCACUGUUUUACAAUACGUUGCAUUCCAGACCUGCCUCUGUCACUGAUUGCUUUCUGGGAGCGGGGGUGUGGCUUAUAACUUCCCCAGAGUGUUGUUUUGGUUCACUAACAUAUCCAAGGGCCCUGUCUGCAACUGAACUACUCCUGACACUUGAUCCCUGUUGCAUCCUUGUCUUGGCUCAUUUCAGGCACCAGACACAUAGGAUUCUUGGAGCAGAUGCUAAGCCAGGAGACAGGAUGGGGCUGCUUCUUAGAGCCCUUGUUAUGGCAGCGCUCCAUCUAGGAAACAGCAGUCAGUCUCUCCUGCUCACUGUUCUCCCUCUCUGUGCUCAAGUCUGUCAGUGCUCGCUGGCCUCUGGCUCUUCCCUUUGGGGAGGGAGCGGCUGUUCUGCCUGCUUCACCGAGUCUUCACAAGCUGAGGGGAUGAGGCCAGGUUAGUACCAGGGACCAGCAACCUUUCAGGGCUCCUUGGGGGUCUCAGGUCCACACACAGUGAGCAUCCCUUGCCAGGUGCCCCAUGUAUCUGUCAGUGCUGAGACGCCAAACACACAACCUGUUCCCAGCUGCUGCUGGGGGCCACUGUGACCGAGGAGAGUGUGGGGUUGCCAGGGAGAGCGCUGUCCCUCUGACAGCCUGACCAGAUGAUGUAGCUUUGAAAGCCGGCAGCAUGUGAGUAGCAAGAUGUGACCUUGAGCUAGCUGAGCAGAACACAGGUGGAUGGGCAGAGGCCCCCAUCCUGGCGAGCUGAGCCUGGCUGUGUCCUGUCAGGACGCCCUACUCUGUGACCCUACCCUGUGAUCUGUGAAGUGGUGCAGUCGGAAGACGAGGCUGGAGUCCUUUACAAGUUUCUACACUAGAUUGUAGCCAGGUUUUCUCCCAGGCCUUAGGCUUUGGUUUACUUUUAAUUUUAAUUUCACUGUUACCCUUGACUAUUGUCCUUUUUGUUGCAGUGUUGGAGAGGCAGGAGGUAUUUGUGCCUCAUCUAUUACUGCAAAAAAAUUAAAUAAAUGUAACAAUAAACGUCCUAAAAUCAGCCCGC